UAAAAUAGAACUAAAGACACUGUAACUUAGUGAGU
rnacentral:guide_RNA from 1 species